AACGAACGCUGGCGGCAUGCCUAACACAUGCAAGUCGAACGAGAUCUUCGGAUCUAGUAGCGCACGGGUGCGUAACACGUGGGAAUCUGCCCUUGGGUUCGGAAUAACUCUCCGAAAGGAGUGCUAAUACCGGAUGAUGUCGAAAGACCAAAGAUUUAUCGCCCAGGGAUGAGCCCGCGUAGGAUUAGCUAGUUGGUGAGGUAAAGGCUCACCAAGGCGACGAUCCUUAGCUGGUCUGAGAGGAUGAUCAGCCACACUGGGACUGAGACACGGCCCAGACUCCUACGGGAGGCAGCAGUGAGGAAUAUUGGACAAUGGGCGAAAGCCUGAUCCAGCAAUGCCGCGUGAGUGAUGAAGGCCUUAGGGUUGUAAAGCUCUUUUACCCGGGAUGAUAAUGACAGUACCGGGAGAAUAAGCCCCGGCUAACUCCGUGCCAGCCGCCGCUGUAACAC
rnacentral:rRNA from 1 species